AUACGUAGGGAGCGAGCGUUGUCCGGAAUCAUUGGGCGUAAAGCGCAUGUAGGUGGAUCAAUUAGUCUGCUGUGAAAGUCAAAGGCUCAACCUUUGAAAGCCGGUGGAUACUGUUGGUCUAGAGUACGGAAGAGGCGAGUGGAAUUCCUGGUGUAGCGGUGGAAUGCGCAGAUAUCAGGAGGAACACCAAUAGCGAAGGCAGCUCGCUGGGACGUUACUGACACCGAGAUGCGAAAGCGUGGGGAGCAAACGGGAUUAGAUACCCUGGUAGUCCACGCCGUAAACGAUGGGUACUAGAUGUGGGAGGUGUCGACUCCUCCCGUAUCGUCGCUAACGCAGUAAGUACCCCGCCUGGGGAGUACGGCCGCAAGGCUAAA
rnacentral:rRNA from 1 species